CCCAGGUAAACUGGCAGCCCACUGGAUAAGCAGGUCAGCUUAUCCAGAAAGAGCAAUGAGAAGAGAAUGUGGGUGCUGACUCUACUCACCAUCCGACUGGGGCUCAGCCUAGUGCUUUCAAAAUGAUGAGCCUUAAGAAAACCAUCCUACCCAGAACGGACUGGCAGCGGCUGAGGCAAAGAGGAGGGGAAAAGGGUGACUAUUUGUUACCUCUCAUCUGACAUCAUUAACAGGAAUAAUGACAUCAUGGUACUUUAUAUUUAAAGAGUUUAUUCACAGAAGGGUCUUAGCUGUCCUCAC